UACGUAGGCAGCAAGCGUUGUUCGGAAUUACUGGGCGUAAAGAGUGUGUAGGCGGUGCUCUAAGUUCGUUGUGAAAUCUCCCGGCUUAACUGGGAGGGUGCGGCGGAAACUGGAGUGCUCGAGCGCGGGAGAGGAAAGCGGAAUUCCUGGUGUAGCGGUGAAAUGCGUAGAUAUCAGGAGGAACACCUGUGGUGUAGACAGCUUUCUGGACCAUAGCUGACGCUGAGACACGAAAGCGUGGGUAGCAAACAGG
rnacentral:rRNA from 1 species